GUUUGGUUUACUUUAGUAUUAAUCUACAAUGCAGACAAAAUAAUACAAAAAUACUUUAUUUAAGGUGUGUCCAAACUUUUGUCUGGUACUGUAUAUUAAUAAAAAUAAAUUCAAGAAAAUAUAUUAAGAUCCCCUGCUUUAUAUCAGUUCUGUAGUUUCAGGUUUGUUACAGACAGUCCCUCAUAUCGUGUUGUGGACCUGCGUGAAGUGGUAAUAAAACAGGGAAUGAACAGCAGAUUUAUGGAAACUUUGUUGGAGAUUGUCAAAUGCUGCCGUGUUAAGUGUUUUUAUCAGCAGGGUGAAGAAAGCUUUGAUUCACUUCAAGGGCUGGUGUUAUCACUGCAGAUUGAAAUGCUCUCUCUGUCCCUCUCUCUAAAGGAGUUCUGUGACAGGGAUACAUAAUCAGCCACUGGCAGAGCUUUCAUUAAAACCUUCAGGAAUAAUGUCGACUUCUUCAUCGGAUCUGUCCGGUUCGUCGGUUGACGCAAAGGUGAGCACCAACGAUACUACUGCAGACGAGCAGGAGGAACGAUUAACCCCUGGCGAUCAGCACACAGACAGACAGAGCAAACUGUCCCAUCAUCCAGCAGCAGAGCUCCUGAGGGACCCCAUCCACACAGCCCGACUCUGCUGGUAAUGAAGCCUGUCAUCCCCCUCACAUCCUCCAGCAGGCCCACGCCGGACACGGCUCCAGCUCAGAACAGGUCCUCCAUUGAUUCAGUGCUAUAUUCCAAACCAGCUCUGUAUCUCCCUCAGAACCUCUUGGCCAUUUUCAGCCCUCUUCACAUGUCCACUCUUUACUCGACUUGUUAGAGCCUUUACUACAGAGAGCCUCCUGACAGAAAUGUGGCUGUUACAGCUGAUACAAUUUAAAAGAUGAAAUCUUAAAUGAUGCCAGUCUUUGUCCCCUCGCUUCAAGUGAAUUGUUAAGAUGUCUCAUAAGCAUAAACCCAGCUUUUGUGAAUGCUCUAAAAAUAUCAAUGAGCACUCCUCAUCUAGAAAUCUGUUACGCCCCAAAGAAAGUGUAAAAUUGCAAUGCUUUUAGAAAGAAGAUAAGGGUUAAACAGCAAUUGAUUAAUAAUUUAGACUGAUUUGGGCAGUAUUUAAGCUACAUAUACAGAAGCAACAUAAUGUCAGACAGCAGCAUAAACUUGGAGAGGUUCCUAAUUAUGUCUGCAAUAAUUAAUUCUAUGCAGCUUUAAACUUCACGCAGUUCCUGCAGAUUUUGCAGUAGG
rnacentral:lncRNA from 1 species